rnacentral:rRNA from 1 species
UACGUAGGGUGCGAGCGUUGUCCGGAAUUAUUGGGCGUAAAGGGCUCGUAGGCGGUUUGUCGCGUCGGGAGUGAAAUCCACUGGCUUAACUGGUGGCUUGCUUUCGAUACGGGCAGACUGGAGGUAUGCAGGGGAGAACGGAAUUCCUGGUGUAGCGGUGGAAUGCGCAGAUAUCAGGAGGAACACCGGUGGCGAAGGCGGGUCUCUGGGCAGUAACUGACGCUGAGGAGCGAAAGCGUGGGGAGCGAACAGG